UAUUUGUUUUAAAUAUGUAGUAAAUACAGUUAGUCACUCUAACUCAGUCACUGUAGACACUGCACUCACUUUGUAUUAAUUUUAAUAAAUACAAUUUAAGAAAUUCCACAGGACAAUACAAAAAUACUGAUAAUUUUUUCUGUCGGGCGACACAAUCAAAAUAAAAACCAAUUCUCAGUAAUGGUCUUAUGAAAUUAUAAAAAAAAAGUAGUAAAUAAUAAAUAUUUCGCAGCGCUCUGAGAAAUUUGUGUUCACUUUGAAAUUGUUGUCGUUAAACUGUUUAUGCAUCGCAAAAAUUCGCCCAUUUAACUUUCAGCUGAUAAGAAAGUCAACAACGAUGACGGUGUAAAUAAAUAAAGCACAGACGCAUGCAAUCAGUAGACGUCGGUGGUUUGCAGGAAAUCUGCAGUUGAGGUCUCCACCCUUUAAAUCGAAUUCCUAAAACAAUUAUUAUAAUGAACGAAAUGCGCACCAAUUCGCCUGUGUUUGGGAUUUUACACCGCAAUUUCGAUUAUGUUUAUAGAAAAUAUUUAUUAUCGAGAUAGGAAUACCAAUAAAUUUAGCUAUGACACCCCUUAUCAGGAGAAAACACCCCAACAAAUUGUGCGGCCAGACAACAGCUUGCAAAUGAAAUAAAAUACUCGAACGCGAGAGGUGAUCCCUGGUGACACAAUAGGCGCCACUAUAAUAAAAUUACUUAAUAUAUACCCAUACAUAUAUAGGUAUAUAAAAUGUAUGUAUAUGUAUGUAUAUUAUGGUAUAUUUAUGCAAUAAAUUUGUGUAGAUAUGUACGUUUGUUUACGAGUUAGUGGGAAUGACCGAUAGGCGACGUAAUUGAAACUGUUAUUUUGCAAUUUAAAUUAUGACAAAUAAAUCAUUUUAGAGCCUCUA